GCGCUGAUGCCGGAGUGGACUAUCGGAGCGGUCUGUAAAACCGUUGGCUUAUGCCUUCGUGGGUUCGAAUCUCACUCAGCGCA
rnacentral:tRNA from 1 species